GCCCGUGGCGUCAUUUAGGUUGGCCAGGGCUGGUCUAAACCGUUGGUUUUAGACCAUUACGACCCGGGUUCGAUUCCCGCAUUGGGCA
rnacentral:tRNA from 1 species